rnacentral:rRNA from 1 species
GACGAACGCUGGCGGCGUGCUUAACACAUGCAAGUCGAACGGAAAGGCCCUGCUUGCAGGGUACUCGAGUGGCGAACGGGUGAGUAACACGUGGGUGAUCUGCCCUGCACUUCGGGAUAAGCCUGGGAAACUGGGUCUAAUACCGGAUAGGAGCCAUUUUUAGUGUGAUGGUUGGAAAGUUUUUUCGGUGUAGGAUGAGCUCGCGGCCUAUCAGCUUGUUGGUGGGGUAAUGGCCUACCAAGGCGGCGACGGGUAGCCGGCCUGAGAGGGUGGACGGCCACAUUGGGACUGAGAUAAGGCCCAGACUCCUACGGGAGGCAGCAGGGGGGAAUAUUGCACAAUGGGCGCAAGCCUGAUGCAGCGACGCCGCGUGGGGGAUGACGGCCUUCGGGUUGUAAACUCCUUUCGCUAGGGACGAAGCGUUUUGUGACGGUACCUAGAUAAGAAGCACCGGCUAACUACGUG